GAUGAACGCUGGCGGUAUGCUUAACACAUGCCAGUCGAACGGACUCUUCGGAGUUAGUGGCGGACGGGUGAGUAACGCGUGAGAAUCUGGCUUUGGGUUCGGGACAACCACUGGAAACGGUGGCUAAUACCGGAUGUGCCGAGAGGUAAAAGAGAAAUUGCCUGAAGAUGAGCUCGCGUCUGAUUAGCUAGUUGGUGAGGUAAAGGCUCACCAAGGCAGCGAUCAGUAGCUGGUCUGAGAGGAUGACCAGCCACACUGGGACUGAGACACGGCCCAGACUCCUACGGGAGGCAGCAGUGGGGAAUUUUCCGCAAUGGGCGAAAGCCUGACGGAGCAAUACCGCGUGAGGGAAGAAGGCUCUUGGGGUGUAAACCUCUUUUCUUAGGGAAGAACAAAAUGACGGUACCUAAGGAAUCAGCAUCGGCUAACUCCGUG
rnacentral:rRNA from 1 species